rnacentral:tRNA from 2 species
GGGCAAGUGGCCUAACCUGGAUAUGGCAACAGCCUCCUAAGCUGUAGGUUGAGGGUUCGAAUCCCUUCUUGCCCGCCA